GGUUCGGUAGUUCAGCCUGGUUAGAAUGCCUGCCUGUCACGCAGGAGGUCGCGGGUUCGAAUCCCGUCCGGACCG
rnacentral:tRNA from 1 species